CCCCCAAAUGAUGAUUAUGGAUUGAAUAUCUCACGACGGUCGUCUGAGAUGCUCAGUGUCAUCGUUGAUGUAAUCACAAUCCUUUGUUUCUGAUGGAU